rfam:Ornithorhynchus anatinus chromosome 3, whole genome shotgun sequence.
CCCCUCUCAGGGUCGCACCUGGAGAGUUUCUGCUACACUACCAGUCUUGUCUAUGGGAUGGAGAGUCAAGCAGAGGUCUACCCAUUCCAUUCCUAGCUUGGGCAGUGGCUAGCGAGUAGAAGGCAAUCUGCUACAAGU